rnacentral:rRNA from 1 species
CAGCAGCCGCGGGAAUACGUAGGUGGCAAGCGUUGUCCGGAAUUACUGGGCGUAAAGGGCGCGUAGGCGGCACGAUUAGUCAGGCGUGAAAUUCCUGGGCUCAACCUGGGGACUGCGCUUGAUACGGUCGAGCUAGAGGAUGGAAGAGGGUCGUGGAAUUCCCAGUGUAGAGGUGAAAUUCGUAGAUAUUCGGAAGAACACCAGUGGCGAAGGCGGCCCGCUGGACAUGUAUUGACGCUGAGGUGCGAAAGCGUGGGGAGCAAACAGGAUUAGAUACCCGCGUAGUCCCUGUCUCUUAUAA